AUGCACACCCACUCACACACAUGCACACACUCACCCUACACACCCACUCUACACACCCGCUCACACACGCACUCACACACUCAUUCACACCUGUGCAAACACACCCACAGAUGUGCAUACACACCCACUCACACAUGCACACACUCCCUCACCCACACACGUAUGCACACAUUCACACAUGUGCACACACACCCAUUCACACACUUGCACACUCACCACUCACGCAUGUGGACACACCCUUACUCACACCCAACUCACAUGCACUCACACACGUGCACACCCACUCAUACACUCACGUGUGCAAACUCACGCAGCUGCACUCGCAUAACAUUUCACCUGCUGACACACAGUUAUAUACAUGCUCAUGCACACACACAUCCACUCAUUCACACAUACCAACACGUGCACACACACUACACAUACCCAUCCUCACAGGUGUGCACACACACGAUAUACUCACACACUCACACCCAAACACACACAGUCCAUACACACACCCCCACAUAUGCACACACAACACACACAUUCACAUGCAUGCACAUAUAUAUACACACACACUACACACACCCACUCACGCCCAUGCACAUGCACUCCACCCACACACACCCAUUCACACACACACAUUCAUCACAUACAUGCACACUCACACACCCACUUACUCUACACACCAACACACACAUAUUCAAACGUGCACACACAUGCUUGCACUCACACACUUGCACACUCACAAAUAUUCACUCACACACACAGACACCUCCCACACACACACUUGCUCACACAUACACUCAAACUCACACGCUGUGGAGAUGUGACCCGGGAGCCCCGGGGGGGGGGGGGCAACCAGCCCCCGCUGAAGUGACUGAUCUUUGGAAGGGCACACAGGCUCCGAGGCCCUCCCGGGAGUUUCACCAGCUCCCAACCAUGAGAGAAGGUUCCUCUUCCUCCUCCCUUCCUUUCCUGAACAACUUGGUGGCUGAGCAAGGUGGGGGGCUGUGGGGAAGGGUCCUGAGGCCUGAGCCGACCUAG
rnacentral:lncRNA from 1 species